GCCCCUGUAGCUUAAUCGGAAGAGCGCCUGGCUUCGGACCAGGAGGUUGGGGGUUCGAGUCCCUCCAGGGGUA
rnacentral:tRNA from 1 species